rnacentral:tmRNA from 1 species
GUUGGCAACCCCGCCGGCGUGGCGAGUCAACAGCGAGAUUAGAGCGCCGGAUACACUCGUAGACGCCAUCCCUUACGCGACCGCGGACGCGGGUUCAAUUCCCGCCGUCUCCACCA